rnacentral:rRNA from 1 species
GCAGGUCGCCAGACCGCUGUCCGGUGAGGACAGGAGGCGGCGACCGGAUGUCAACAACCGCGGAGCCUAAACAGCUCUCGCGAUAGAAGACAUCCUGAGAGGGAACCCGUAAGAAAUAACAGAGAACCAAAGGGAUUCCUGAUGGUUCGAGCUGUCCAAGUUUAUUGGAGAGUUUGAUCCUGGCUCAGAGCGAACGUUAGCGGCAGGCCUAACACAUGCAAGUCGAGCGAGAAAGGGGUUUCGGCCCUGAGUAAAGCGGCGGACGGGUGCGUAACACGUGGAUAAUCUGGCCUUCGGUGGGGGAUAACAGUCCGAAAGGAUUGCUAAUACCGCAUGCGUCAUUCAGGGCUCCGGUCCUGGAUGGGAAAGGGGGCGCUCGCAAGAGGCUCCCGCCGGAGGAUGAGUCCGCGGCCCAUCAGCUAGUUGGUGAGGUAAUGGCUCACCAAGGCUUAGACGGGUAGCUGGUCUGAGAGGAUGAUCAGCCACACUGGGACUGAGACACG